ACUUAGUAGCUGUUUUAUGCAAUUAUUUCUCUAUAGUCUAGUCUAAUAGUUUAUGUGAAUAACCUUGACUGAUUUCCUGACUUUCCUUACCGUUCCCCGGCAACGGCGCCAGAAAUGCUUGUUGACACUAGCUAACACCACUUAGAUACUAGGUUGUCAUCCCCAGGAUGGUGCUAGAGUGUACAAAGGUAUUUAUAAAUGUAAAGGCUAUCUAGAAAAUAAUCUAUUCUAUCCGCAAGCGCACAGAUAAAACACCUCAUUGUAGCAUUUCACCAGGUAAGUAUUCCAGGUAUCAUUAUUUAUAAUUUUGCUUAGGAGAACGGUGGAGAUAAAUAAAAUCUAUCAAGGCCUAGACUAGAGAUAAACUUGCAAGAACAUGAUUACUAGUGAGAAACUCGUCACACAGUCACUUACUUUGGCAGGGGGUAAACCAUAAAGAUAAUGAUAUUGAAUUAUAAGUUCAUGGGUGAAUAACACAACGAUUAGAAAAUAGACUACUCCUCAUAUAUGUAAGGUGACGUCGGAUUAGCUAGAGAAUGGAUUCUAAGUUAUCUACUAUCUACUAAGUCACAAUCUACUCUAGUUAUCUACA
rnacentral:lncRNA from 1 species